GCCAGACUCCUACGGGAGGCAGCAGUGGGGAAUAUUGGGCAAUGGGCGCAAGCCUGACCCAGCAACGCCGCGUGAAGGAAGAAGGCUUUCGGGUUGUAAACUUCUUUUAUUCGGGACGAAGCAAGUGACGGUACCGAAUGAAUAAGCCACGGCUAACUACGUGCCAGCAGCCGCGGUAAUACGUAGGUGGCGAGCGUUAUCCGGAUUUACUGGGUGUAAAGGGCGUGUAGGCGGGAGUGCAAGUCAGAUGUGAAAACUAUGGGCUCAACCCAUAGCCUGCAUUUGAAACUGUACUUCUUGAGUGCUGGAGAGGCAAUCGGAAUUCCGUGUGUAGCGGUGAAAUGCGUAGAUAUACGGAGGAACACCAGUGGCGAAGGCGGAUUGCUGGACUGUAACUGACGUUGAGGCUCGAAGGCGUGGGGAGCAAACAGGAUUAGAUACCCGUGUA
rnacentral:rRNA from 1 species